AUUGAACGCUGGCGGAAUGCUUUACACAUGCAAGUCGAGCGGCAGCGCGGGGCAACCUGGCGGCGAGCGGCGAACGGGUGAGUAAUACAUCGGAACGUGCCCAGACGUGGGGGAUAACUACUCGAAAGAGUGGCUAAUACCGCAUAUGAUCUAAGGAUGAAAGCGGGGGAUCGCAAGACCUCGCGCGCUUGGAGCGGCCGAUGGCAGAUUAGGUAGUUGGUGGGGUAAAGGCUUACCAAGCCUGCGAUCUGUAGCUGGUCUGAGAGGACGACCAGCCACACUGGGACUGAGACACGGCCCAGACUCCUACGGGAGGCAGCAGUGGGGAAUUUUGGGCAAUGGGCGAAAGCCUGAUCCAGCCAUUCCGCGUGCAGGAUGAAGGCCCUCGGGUUGUAAACUGCUUUUGUACAGAACGAAAAAGCUCUGGUUAAUACCUGGAGUCCAUGACGGUACUGUAAGAAUAAGCACCGGCUAACUACGUGCCAGCAGCCGCCGUAACAC
rnacentral:rRNA from 1 species